CCUUGACAUACUAAGAACUUUCCAGAGAUUGGAUUGGUGCCUUCGGGAACUUAGAUACAGGUGCUGCAUGGCUGUCGUCAGCUCGUGUCGUGAGAUGUUGGGUUAAGUCCCGCAACGAGCGCAACCCUUUUCCUUAUUUGCCAGCGGGUCAUGCCGGGAACUUUAAGGAUACUGCCAGUGACAAACUGGAGGAAGGCGGGGACGACGUCAAGUCAUCAUGGCCCUUACGGCCAGGGCUACACACGUGCUACAAUGGUCGGUACAAAGGGUUGCUACCUCGCGAGAGGAUGCUAAUCUCAAAAAGCCGAUCGUAGUCCGGAUCGCAGUCUGCAACUCGACUGCGUGAAGUCGGAAUCGCUAGUAAUCGCGGAUCAGAAUGCCGCGGUGAAUACGUUCCCGGGCCUUGUACACACCGCCCGUCACACCAUGGGAGUUUGUUGCACCAGAAGUAGGUAGUCUAACCGCAAGGAGGACGCUUACCACGGUGUGGCCGAUGACUGGGGUGAAGUCGUAACAAGGUAGGCGUAGAUGA
rnacentral:rRNA from 1 species